UGAGGAAGUUGAGUGGUCGACGCGCGUCAGAGGCUUCUUGGGUCGCGUUGGAGGGUUCCCGAGGCCUGUGAAGCCGGCGGAGGUCGCCUCUGUCGGCCGACGCCUCAACCUUCGCCCUGGGCGUCAGCCUCAGGCUUCACGGAAGUGGAAGCGAGCCAAGAGUAAGACAAAAACCAGUACAAAUAAAUCCCCAAGUCACAACAGAUUAUCUCCUUAGAGGCUUCUGAAAUGCUCAAUUCAGUGGUCCCCAAAUUUGCUGCCCACUGGAAUCACCUGGCCAUCUUUUAAAACUACUGAUGCCUGGCUCCCAUCUCUCAGUAUUGUAAUUUACCAGGUGUGUUGACUUUUAAAGGAUGUUUGUGGUUUCAGAGAAACCCCAGGACACACAGAAACUUGAAAUUUCCAAGGAUGUGAACUGCAAGACAACCAUUGCGUAUCAGAUCUUGUCCUUGACAUUAUGGACAAGCUUCUUUCAAAGAAAGCUCUUUACCCAUGAGGAUAAGGGAGUCGAUAGAUAUAAGAGGCAUCUCUGGAUUGUCACACACAGGCCAUACAACCUCACCAAAUAAAUAGUUCUUUGUAUAAAGAAAAAAAGAACUGUUGUCAUGUUGAGAAGAGGACAGGAAAAGGCUCAGAUGUCCCAAACGGAAUUACAACUCAUUCAUUUGAAUGGAAUAUUUGAAAAAUAAAAUAGGGGGAUUUAAGCACAGUCCUUGGGGAUUAUAAAUUAUGGGCAGUGUGUUCCUUAUUUAGAAUGUUUCGGGAGGAACAACUUUUGUAAAGUCAGAGUCACGAGUUUCCAGUUACUAGAGAUUUUCAAGCAGGCCCUGGGCCACCACAUGGCAGGGGGUAUUAGAGAGAUGAGUCAGGCAGUAGAACGGUAUACGAGGUGAACUCUGAGAGCCUGUGCAGUCCUGCUGUCUCUGGCAACAUCUCCUUUCUCCAAGGGAAGAUACAGAAUUAUCCUGGAAAGGAAGAGUAUAGGCAGGACUGAGCCCAAGAAAUUUAGGCAAAGCACUAGGAAGAAGCCAGAUAACUUGAAGAGAGCCUUCUCUAGAUUAAGUUAGAUUUAUGGAGCUAGAAAAGACUUUGGGGGGUGUCUGUCUUGCUCUUGAUAAAGAAAUGGAAAAACUGUAUUAGUCAGAUAGGCUAGACUGUGAUACGUUAAUAAAUUAUGAAAUCUCACUGGCUUAACAGGAGAAAAGUUGACUGUUCCCUUGUGCAAACUCCUUUACAGAUGUUUCUGAUCAGGCAUUCUCCUCCAAGUGAUGACUGAGUGAUACAGGUUCCUUCCAUCUUGUUUCAUGUCCCUUCAACACAUGGCCUGAAAAGUCCAUGGGAAAGGGGAAGAUAAUUCAGGAAAGGUACCUGGAUACUUUAGACAUCCAAGUCCUGAGUAUUUCAUGAAUCACUUCCACUCAGAUCCUUUAGGCAGAAUGGAUCCUGCAGCCAACCCAAUUGCAAAGGAGGAUGGGAAACAGAGAGCCACACAGAUAUUGGUCACACACCUGUAGUUUUUUCCCACAAGAAGCCAAGAUGCAGAGGGAUGCCAUGAUUUUAUUAUGUUCAUUGUGUUAAUGUUGUCAGAACUAAGAUCAGAUUCUUGAUACGAUGAUUUAUCAGGUUAAGUGUAGUAUAUGAUGAAGACUUCCAUGGCUGGAUUCUGGGCAUCCCACUUGGCAGCUAGAACCUCAACAAAACUUUUAUAGUUCCUCAUGCCCACUAGACCUUAUAUCUUUGCUCCUGAAGCCCCUUACUAAGGUGUGAAUACCUUCUGCUUCUUUACCUACCUUCUCUGCCUACUUAUUCUUUAAGACUUAAGCAUCUCUGCUUCCAGGAAGGUGAUCCUAAUCUCCGAAUGGCCUCCUCUCCAGAUUGAGUUAGGUGUCCUAUGCAUCCACGUUAUCCUGUCCUAACAUCAACCCUGAAUAUUUACUGGAAGGAUUGGUGCUGAAGCUGAAGCACCAAUACUGUGGCCACCUGAUGUGA